AUCCAAACUAUGGGCUGACAUUAAGAGGU
rnacentral:piRNA from 1 species